UGCGUAGGCGGAAAAUUAAGUCAGUGAUGAAAUCCUGCAGCUUAACUGUAGAACUGUUAUUGAUACUGGUUUUCUUGAAUAUAGUUGAGGUAGGCGGAAUGUGUAAUGUAGCGGUGAAAUGCUUAGAUAUUACACAGAACACCGAUUGCGAAGGCAGCUUACUAAGCUAACAUUGACGCUGAGGCACGAAAGCGUGGGGAGCGAACAGGAUUAGAUACCCUGGUAGUCC
rnacentral:rRNA from 1 species